AAAUUGAGGUUAAACCACGAUAGAUCAAGAUACCUGGAAUGGUUUUUUAUCAAAAUCUAUAUGUCCUGUGGAUUGGACUGCGCCCGAUCAGGCUGUUGAUGAGGUAAUGGAUCACCAAACCUGUAACCGAUACGGGCUCUGAGAGGAGGAGCCCGGAGAUGGGUACUGAGAAAAGGACCCAGGCCCUAUGGGGCGCAGCAGGCGCGAAACCUCUGCAAUAGGCGAAAGCCUGACAGGGUUACUAUGAGUGACUUUCGCUAAGAAAGUCUUUUGACACCUCUAAAAAUGGUGUAGAAUAAGGGGUGGGCAAGUCUGGUGUCAGCCGCCGCGGUAAUACCAGCACCCCGAGUGGUCGGGUCGAUUAUUGGGCCUAAAGCAUCCGUAGCCGGUUUUACAAGUCCUCCGUUAAAUCCAACUGCUUAACAGAUGGGCCGCGGAGGAUACUAUAAGACUAGGAGGCAGGAGAGGCAAGCGGUACUCAGUGGGUAGGGGUAAAAUCCGUUGAUCCAUUGAAGACCACCGGUGGCGAAGGCGGCUUGCCAGAAUGCGCUCGACGGUGAGGGAUGAAAGCUGGGGGAGCAAACCGGAUUAGAUACCCGGGUAGUCCCAGCUGUAAACGAUGCAGACUCGGUGAUGGACUAGCUUAAUGCUGGUCCAGUGCCGCAGGGAAGCCGUUAAGUCUGCCGCCUGGGUAGUACGGUCGCAAGACUGAAACUUAAAGGAAUUGGCGGGGGAGCACAAUUGAAUCCCGCGGCCGCCAGGCGGCCGGAGCAUGGACUCGCAGGUAUAGCUAAAACGGG
rnacentral:rRNA from 1 species